CCGCCCGUCACACCAUGGAAGCCAGCUGUACCGGAAGUCGGUGCGCAACCGCAAGGAGGCAGCGCCUAUGGUAUGACUGGUGACUGGGGUG
rnacentral:rRNA from 1 species